rnacentral:rRNA from 1 species
AGCGAACGCUGGCGGCAGGCCUAACACAUGCAAGUCGAACGGACCCUUCGGGAUUUGUGGCGGACGGGUGUGUAACCCGUGGGAACGUGCCCUUUGGUUCGGAACAACUCAGGGAAACGUGAGCUAAUACCGGAUGUGCCCUUAGGGGGAAAGAUUUCUUGCCAUUGGAGCGGCCCGCGUGUGAUUAGCUCGUUGGGAAGGUAACGGCCCACCAAGGCGUGGAUCAGUAGCUGGGCUGAGAGGAUGAUCAGCAACUCUGGGACUGAGACCCGGCCUAGACUCCUACGGGAGGCAGGAGUGGGGGAUCUUGCGCAAUGGGCGAAGGCCUGACGCACCCAGGCCGGGUGAAUGAUGAAGGUCUUAGGAUUGUAAAAUUCUUUCAGCGGGGACGAUAAUGACGGUACCCGCAGAAGAAGCUCCGGCUAACUUCGUG